rnacentral:ncRNA from 20 species
UGCGAUGAGUCGAGAAGAACCAGGUAAUGGAUUAACAUUAUUUUGCUGCGGCAAUUAAUGGUUCAAUUCGAAGCGGGACACGAUUGCCAACGGAAUUUUUGGUGUGCUUAUGUCAUUCAUUGUGGAGUGA